AAUCAACUUCCUCUUCCUUCAUCCUGGAUCUCACCUGCUCAGGCCAGCAGGGGGCAGAAGACUGAGCUGGGUUAUCAUACCCAGGGUGUUUGUGCAGCUGAAGGAGGGCCGACUGAAGAGGAAGGAGCUCAGGGAGCAGAGUAGGACCUCCAAGGAUCAUCUCAGCUGCCACACAACCCACCAUCAGCUCAGUCCAGGAUUUUACACUUUUAUUCUGAUUUUCCCUUUAAUAAUACAGCUGGAAUUAUUAGAUUACAUUAGAAACUCUAUUUUUAUUACUCUCAACAUGAAAAGAGCAUGCAUUACUGCGUUACUUCAGUUGUUUAUCUUUCAUUCCCCAUAUUCUAAUCUUAGUUCAGGUCUUAAGUCUCUGUCCUGGCGGAUCACUGUAGCUUGUUGUGCUCUGUCUUGUGUCGUGUCCUCAUGUGUUCUUGCCGUUGACUCGACUGCCUGCUUAGUUUGGAUUAGAUUUGUUUCUCAGUCUUUGUGUUUUUGGAUUCUCUCUGUGGAGAAGCUGUUUUUCUGUUGGAUCACUUGUUUCGUUUUGAACACAUUUAAUUUGCUAAUAAAUCUCAAGAACUGAA